rnacentral:rRNA from 1 species
AUUGAACGCUGGCGGCAGGCCUAACACAUGCAAGUCGAGCGGUAGAGAGAAGCUUGCUUCUCUUGAGAGCGGCGGACGGGUGAGUAAUGCCUAGGAAUCUGCCUGGUAGUGGGGGAUAACGUUCGGAAACGGACGCUAAUACCGCAUACGUCCUACGGGAGAAAGCAGGGGACCUUCGGGCCUUGCGCUAUCAGAUGAGCCUAGGUCGGAUUAGCUAGUUGGUGAGGUAAUGGCUCACCAAGGCGACGAUCCGUAACUGGUCUGAGAGGAUGAUCAGUCAAACUGGAACGGAGACACGGUCCAGAGUCCUACGGGAGGCAGCAGUGGGGAAUAUUGGACAAUGGGCGAAAGCCUGAUCCAGCCAUGCCACGUGUGUGAAGAAGGUCUUCGGAUUGUAAAGCACAUUAAGUUGGGAGGAAGGGUUGUAGAUUAAUACUCUGCAAUUUUGACGUUACCGACAGAAUAAGCACCGGCUAACUCUGUGCCAGCCGCCGCCGUAA